rnacentral:rRNA from 1 species
GACGAACGCUGGCGGCGUGCUUAACACAUGCAAGUCGAGCGGUAAGGCCCUUUCGGGGGUACACGAGCGGCGAACGGGUGAGUAACACGUGGGCAACCUGCCCUUAGCUCUGGGAUAACCCCGGGAACCGGGGCUAAUACCGGAUAUCACUUCGAGUGGCAUCGCUCGAAGUUGAAAGGAUUCUGGCUAAGGAUGGGCCCGCGGCCUAUCAGCUUGUUGGUGGGGUAAUGGCCUACCAAGGCGACGACGGGAGCCGGCCUGAGAGGGCGACCGGCCACACUGGACUGAGACACGGCCCAGACUCCUACGGGAGGCAGCAGUGGGGAAUAUUGCGCAAU